AGUGAACGCUGGCGGUAGGCCUAACACAUGCAAGUCGAACGGCAGCACAGUAAGAGCUUGCUCUUACGGGUGGCGAGUGGCGGACGGGUGAGGAAUACAUCGGAAUCUACUUUUUCGUGGGGGAUAACGUAGGGAAACUUACGCUAAUACCGCAUACGACCUACGGGUGAAAGCAGGGGAUCUUCGGACCUUGCGCGAUUGAAUGAGCCGAUGUCGGAUUAGCUAGUUGGCGGGGUAAAGGCCCACCAAGGCGACGAUCCGUAGCUGGUCUGAGAGGAUGAUCAGCCACACUGGGACUGAGACACGGUCCAGACUCCUACGGGAGGCAGCAGUGGGGAAUAUUGGACAAUGGGCGCAAGCCUGAUCCAGCCAUACCGCGUGGGUGAAGAAGGCCUUCGGGUUGUAAAGCCCUUUUGUUGGGAAAGAAAAGCAGCAGGUUAAUACCCCGCUGUUCUGACGGUACCCAAAGAAUAAGCACCGGCUAACCUCGUG
rnacentral:rRNA from 1 species